UACGAAGGGGGCUAGCGUUGUUCGGAAUUACUGGGCGUAAAGGGCGCGUAGGCGGUACUUCAAGUCAGGCGUGAAAGCCCCGGGCUCAACCUGGGAGCCGCGCUUGAGACUGGAGAACUAGAGUUCGGGAGAGGAUGGUGGAAUUCCCAGUGUAGAGGUGAAAUUCGUAGAUAUUCGCAAGAACACCAGUGGCGAAGGCGGCUCACUGGCCCGAUACUGA
rnacentral:rRNA from 1 species